rnacentral:rRNA from 1 species
UAGAGUUUGAUCCUGGCUCAGGAUGAACGCUAGCGGCAGGCCUAACGCAUGCAAGUCGAGGGGCAGCACAGAUUGUAGCUUGCUACAAUUGGUGGCGACCGGCGGACGGGUGCGUAACGCGUAUACAACCUACCUUUUACAGGGGGAUAACGUUUGGAAACGAACACUAAUACCCCAUAACAUUCGGAAAGGCAUCUUUCCGAGUUAAAAACUCCGGUGGUAAGAGAUGGGUAUGCGUUGUAUUAGAUAGUUGGUGAGGUAACGGCUCACCAAGUCGACGAUACAUAGGGGGACUGAUAGGUUAACCCUCCACACUGGUACUGAGACACGGACCASACUCCUACGGGAGGCAGCAGUGAGGAAUAUUGGUCAAUGGGGGCAACCCCGAACCASCCAUGCCGCGUGCACGGCUAACUCCGUGCCAGCAGCCGCGGUAAUACGGAGGAUCCAAGCGUUAUCCGGAUUUAUUGGGUUUAAAGGGUGCGUAGGCGGUGAGGUAAGUUAGAGGUGAAAUACCGUGGCUCAACCACGGAACUGCCUCUGAUACUGCCCCGCUAGAGAGUAGAUGCGGUAGGCGGAAUGUGUGGUGUAGCGGUGAAAUGCUUAGAGAUCACACAGAACCCCGAUUGCGAAGGCAGCUUACCAAUCUAUAUCUGACGUUGAGGCACGAAAGCGUGGGUAGCAAACAGGAUUAGAUACCCUGGUAGUCCACGCAGUAAACGAUGAUAGCUCGUUGUCGGCGAUACACAGUCGGUGACUUAGCGAAAGCGUUAAGCUAUCCACCUGGGGAGUACGUUCGCAAGAAUGAAACUCAAAGGAAUUGACGGGGGCCCGCACAAGCGGAGGAACAUGUGGUUUAAUUCGAUGAUACGCGAGGAACCUUACCCGGGCUUGAAAGUUAUUGACAGGAGUGGAAACACUCUCUCCCUUCGGGGCAAGAACCUAGGUGCUGCAUGGUUGUCGUCAGCUCGUGCCGUGAGGUGUCGGAUUAAGUUCCAUAACGAGCGCAACCCUUGCCGUUAGUUGCCAGCAGGUUAAGCUGGGCACUCUAACGGGACUGCCGGUGUAAGCCGAGAGGAAGGUGGGGAUGACGUCAAAUCAGCACGGCCCUUACGUCCGGGGCGACACACGUGUUACAAUGGUCGGUACAGAGGGCAGCUACCCAGCGAUGGGAUGCGAAUCUCGAAAGCCGAUCUCAGUUCGGAUCGGAGGCUGAAACCCGCCUCCGUGAAGUUGGAUUCGCUAGUAAUCGCGCAUCAGCCAUGGCGCGGUGAAUACGUUCCCGGGCCUUGUACACACCGCCCGUC